rnacentral:rRNA from 1 species
GACGAACGCUGGCGGCGUGCUUAACACAUGCAAGUCGAACGGAAAGGCCCUGCUUUUAUGGGGUGCUCGAGUGGCGAACGGGUGAGUAGCACGUGAGUAACCUGCCCUUGACUUUGGGAUAACUUCAGGAAACUGGGGCUAAUACCGGAUAGGAGCUCCUGCUGCAUGGUGGGGGUUGGAAAGUUUCGGCGGUUGGGGAUGGACUCGCGGCUUAUCAGCUUGUUGGUGGGGUAGUGGCUUACCAAGGCUUUGACGGGUAGCCGGCCUGAGAGGGUGACCGGCCACAUUGGGACUGAGAUACGGCCCAGACUCCUACGGGAGGCAGCAGUGGGGAAUAUUGCACAAUGGGCGGAAGCCUGAUGCAGCAACGCCGCGUGCGGGAUGACGGCCUUCGGGUUGUAAACCGCUUUCGCCUGUGACGAAGCGUGAGUGACGGUAAUGGGUAAAGAAGCACCGGCUAACUACGUG